GUUUGACUUAACCGACGACGAGAACAUGUGGCCCCUUGUUUCAUCGUUGCCAUCAGCGUUUUAUCGAGUGGCCAUGGAUCAAAUUGUCGUCCAGAGGUGCCUGGCGUCGAGAACACUUGCUAGUGCACAAAGGACUGUGCUCACGGGGUCCGUCCUGCUUGUUGCGGCAUAUACCGUCGAACUCCUGAUGGCAUUGUCCUUGGUACUCUGGUUUCGAGGUUGCGACCCCCAACUCUCAGGAGCUAUCAAGAGUACUGAUCAGGCAAGGACGCACGAUCGUCAUAUGAUGCGCUGUACUGCCCUACUAUAUUAAGACGCACCUGAUGCAGUUCCCAGGAUUUACCGGCCUUUUCCUCGCUGCAGUUGUAAGCGCCGGAGCCAGCACAAUAUCCUCAUCAAUCAACUCCAUGACAGCUCUUCUACAUGUGGACGUGCUCCCUUAUUUCUUCAAGAGUGCCGGUUCUGACGUCCCAUUUAGAACACAGGGACUAGCGCUCCUUCUCGGUGCCGUCAUGACAAUGUACAGUUGCAUUUGUGUUUACCUGGGAUCCAUCAC